UUGCUUCGGUAACUGACCUAGCGGCGGACGGGUGAGUAAAGCUUAGGAAUCUGCCUAUUAGUGGGGGACAACUUUCCGAAGGGGAUGCUAAUACCGCAUACUUCCUACGGGAAAAAGCAGGGGCUCUUUAUGACCUUGCGCUAAUAAAUGACCCUAAUUCGGAUUACCUAGUUGGGGGGGUAAAGGCCUACCAAGGCAACAAUCUGUAGCGGGUCUGAAAGGAUGAUCCGCCACACUGGGACUGAAACACGGCCCAAACUCCUACGGGAGGCACCAGGGGGGAAUAUUGGACAAGGGGGGGAACCCUGAUCCACCCAUGCCGCGUGUGUGAAAAAGGCCUUUUGGUUGUAAAGCACUUUAAGUGGGGAGGAGGCUUACCUGGUUAAUACCUAGGAUAAGUGGACGUUACCCACAGAAUAAGCACCGGCUAACUCUGUG
rnacentral:rRNA from 1 species